GCAGCACGGGGGCAACCCUGGUGGCGAGUGGCGAACGGGUGAGUAACAUAUCGGAACGUGCCCUGGAGUGGGGGAUAACUAGUCGAAAGAUUAGCUAAUACCGCAUACGAUCUACGGAUGAAAGUGGGGGAUCGCAAGACCUCAUGCUCGUGGAGCGGCCGAUAUCUGAUUAGCUAGUUGGUGGGGUAAAGGCCUACCAAGGCAUCGAUCAGUAGCUGGUCUGAGAGGACGACCAGCCACACUGGGACUGAGACACGGCCCAGACUCCUACGGGAGGCAGCAGUGGGGAAUUUUGGACAAUGGGCGCAAGCCUGAUCCAGCAAUGCCGCGUGAGUGAAGAAGGCCUUCGGGUUGUAAAGCUCUUUUGUCAGGGAAGAAACGGUUCGGGUUAAUACCUUGGGCUAAUGACGGUACCUGAAGAAUAAGCACCGGCUAACUACGUGCCAGCAGCCGCGGUAAUACGUAGGGUGCAAGCGUUAAUCGGAAUUACUGGGCGUAAAGCGUGCGCAGGCGGUUGUGCAAGACAGAUGUGAAAUCCCCGGGCUCAACCUGGGAAUUGCAUUUGUGACUGUACGGCUAGAGUGUGUCAGAGGGGGGUAGAAUUCCACGUGUAGCAGUGAAAUGCGUAGAGAUGUGGAGGAAUACCGAUGGCGAANGCAGCCCCCUGGGAUAACACUGACGCUCAUGCACGAAAGCGUGGGGAGCAAACAGGAUUAGAUACCCUGAUAGUCCACGCCCUAAACGAUGUCUACUAGUUGUCGGGUCUUUAUUGACUUGGUAACGCAGCUAACGCGUGAAGUAGACCGCCUGGGGANUACGGUCGCAAGAUUAAAACUCAAAGGAAUUGACGGGGACCCGCACAAGCGGUGGAUGAUGUGGAUUAAUUCGAUGCAACGCGAAAAA
rnacentral:rRNA from 1 species